rnacentral:rRNA from 1 species
GGGGGUGCCUUCGGGAGCCGAGAGACAGGUGCUGCAUGGCUGUCGUCAGCUCGUGUCGUGAGAUGUUGGGUUAAGUCCCGUAACGAGCGCAACCCUUGUCCUUAGUUGCCAGCGCGUCAUGCCGGGAACUCUAAGGAGACUGCCGGUGAUAAACCGGAGGAAGGUGGGGAUGACGUCAAGUAAUCAUGGCCCUUAUGGGCUGGGCUACACACGUGCUACAAUGGCCGGUACAGAGGGUUGCGACCCCGCGAGGGGAGCCAAUCCAGAAAACCGGUCGUAGUCCGGAUCGCAGUCUGCAACUCGACUGCGUGAAGUCGGAAUCGCUAGUAAUCGCGAAUCAGCAUGUCGCGGUGAAUACGUUCCCGGGCCUUGUACACACCG